rnacentral:snRNA from 1 species
GUGCUCAUCUUGGCAGCAUAUAUACAAAAAACUCGAAUGCCACAGAGAAUAUUGGUGCAGUCCAAGUGCAAGGGUGAUAUGAAAACUCAUGAAUGCUCCAUAUUUUC